UACGUAGGGGGCAAGCGUUGUCCGGAUUUAUUGGGCGUAAAGAGCGUGUAGGCGGCUUGGUAGGUCCGCUGUGAAAACUCGAGGCUCAACCUCGAGAUGUCGGCGGAAACCACUUGGCUAGAGUCCGGAAGAGGAGAGUGGAAUUCCUGGUGUAGCGGUGAAAUGCGCAGAUAUCAGGAGGAACACCUAUGGCGAAGGCAGCUCGCUGGGACGGUAUUGACGCUGAGACGCGAAAGCGUGGGGAGCGAACAGG
rnacentral:rRNA from 1 species